CCAGACUCCUACGGGAGGCAGCAGUGGGGAAUAUUGCACAAUGGGGGGAACCCUGAUGCAGCAAUGCCGCGUGAAGGAUGAAGGUUUUCGGAUUGUAAACUUCUUUUGUACGGGACGAAGAAAGUGACGGUACCGUAAGAAUAAGCCACGGCUAACUACGUGCCUGCAGCCGCGGUAAUACGUAGGUGGCAAGCGUUAUCCGGAUUUACUGGGUGUAAAGGGCGAGUAGGCGGGAUUGCAAGUCAGAUGUGAAAACUAUGGACUCAACCGAUAGAGUGCAUUUGAAACUGCAGUUCUUGAGUGAUGGAGAGGCAGGCGGAAUUCCAGGUGUAGGAGUGAAAUCCGUAGAUAUCUGGAGGAACAUCAGUGGCGAAGGCGACUAUCUGGCACAUAACUGACGCUGAGGAGCGAAAGCGUGGGUAGCAAACAGGAUUAGAUACCCCCGUAGU
rnacentral:rRNA from 1 species